UUUUCCUACAUAGCAGAAGCCAUAGAUAUUUUCUCACUCUAGUACAUGUCUAGAGAGAGAGUCCGACUAAAGUACUUCUAAUAGCACUAAGCAUUUCAUGCUACAAAGUUUUUCACAUCCAGAUUUAUUCUUUUGACUAUUUUUAUCCGUUAGAUCAUACUAUUCAAUCAACUACCCACUUUAUUCUAGGGGACCAUUAUUAUUCUCUAAUCGCACAUCCUUUUAUCCAAAGGUCAAAAAUAUUCUAAUAGCACCAACGACUCCGAUGUGCUAUUAGAAGCAUUCCAGCCUGCUUUUCUAUAUAUAUAUAUAUAGAAUUAUGCUACUAUACUAUCAAUAGUACCAAGCCCUUUGUACUAUUGAGUUUUCGGCCGUUGGAUGAAAGAAUGUGCGGUUAGGAUGAUAGUGAUCCCCUAGGGUUGAGUGGGUGGUUGGUUUAAUAGUUUAAUCUAACGGGUGAAAAUGGUCAAAAGGUAGAUCUAACGGUAGAAAACUCAAUAGUACCAAGGGCUUAGUAUUAUCGAUAGUAUAGUAGCCGGACUCAUAUAUAUAUAUAUUUUUAUCUAAGGGCCGAAAACCUAAUAGUACCAACAACUUGGUGCUAUUAAUAGCAUUCCAGCCUAGUUCUAUAUAUAUAUAGUUUGGAUUAUAUAUACAUAAUUAAGACUACAGUGGUAUUUUAGAAAGCAUAUCAGCUCAGUUCUAUAUAUAU
rnacentral:lncRNA from 1 species